GGGCUUCUAAGGUCGUUAUAAAACAAUAUAAAUUUCAGAACCAAAACAAUGCAUGACCCAUCAGAUAUUAUAAGCACCAGAUCAGUUAAAGAGAAAAGGGCAUGGAAUCCUAAGCUCGAGAGAAAAUUCCAGUAUAAACUGUAGGUACCACAAACUCAACCAAUAUAAAUUUCAGAACCAAAACAAUGCAUGACCCAUCAGAUAUUAUAAGCACCAGAUCAGUUAAAGAGAAAAGGGCAUGGAAUCCUAAGCUCGAGAGAAAAUUCCAGUAUAAACUGUAGGUACCACAAACUCAACCAAUAUAAAUUUCAGAACCAAAACAAUGCAUGACCCAUCAGAUAUUAUAAGCACCAGAUCAGUUAAAGAGAAAAGGGCAUGGAAUCCUGAGCUCGAGAGAAAAUUCCAGUAUAAACUGUAGGUACCACAAACUCAACCAAUAUAAAUUUCA
rnacentral:lncRNA from 1 species